GAAGAAGCUGGCAGCACUGAAACCAGAGAAUAGCACUGUCAAUGAGUGGGAAGAGUUCGUGAAACAUGUUUGCUCGGAGGAAUUCAGAACAAAAAGAUUCUGGAUGCAACAAAUCAGGAAGAAAUACACCACUCCACACACUAUCAGUAGACUGGGUUGGGUGAGACUCGAGGCUAAGAUGCAAAAGGAACGGAAAACACAAGAAGAGAUUGAUAGAGUCGAAGUUUGGACAACGGGUCACAAACAUAAGGAAGGAAAGGAACCUAA